UCCACCUGUCACUCAAGUGGCUACGCCCUUAAUUAUGCAGAACUUUAAGUCUUAAUAUAAUUUAAACGGAUGAGUUAUAAAAAAAAUUCACCCCCCUCACAGUUGUCAUGAAGGGCAAAAUUAGCUAUUUAGACCAAAAUCAUUUUUUGAACCAGGCUGUAAACAUGUUUUUUCCUGCUGUAAAGUUGGCCAUUUUAACAUGGGGAGUCUAUGGGACUGACUCCCUUUUGCAGCCAGCCUCAAGCGGCCAGUCGAUGAAUUGCAGUUUUAGUCACUUCCUUAUUGGCCUCACGAGAGAGAGCGGGAGGUUGGCGCCAGUGCGUAACUUGAAGUUGUCCAAAUCACACAGAACCACGCGAGAUCUCAAAACGAUAAGUUGUUGGCAAUAUGGCAGCUUUAAUUAGGGCACAGAGUUUUAAGGGAGGCAGGGGUUUUAGGCAGGAUUUGAUGCAUGAUGUGUGUGUAGAUAUUAAUGUUAGGGGACAAUAUGAGAGAUGUGUACGUUUUAGUAGGAAAACGUAUUAUCUGAUCCACACUCCGGAACAGAAGAGGGCGGUAAUGCACCAAUAAACUGGAUGCCAACUGCCGUUAAACUGGAAAGAAGACGAAUAUGACAGCUUGCUGUGAGAGACAACGGGACAGAUGAGACACACGUGUGUUUAUCUGCUGCAGAGACACUGAUGAAGGAAUGCUAACAUCAAAGGAUUUGUAUCUUUUGUGGUGGAGCAGGACCUGCAAGGAUAGGUGAAAAAAAGGGAAAACCUGAAACAAAAGAAUAAUGUAAUGACUUUUUGUAUUGUGUAUUCAUAUUUUUGUAGGACAUGAAAAUGUCUGUAGACUGGUGUGUGCACUGAGGAUGGAGAGGACCACAGCAUCAUCCUGGAAAUGAUCGAGAGUCACAGAUGAGACGCUCCCUCACUCCACCUGCCCUUUACUGUCUCAUCAGGACCAGAUGCUGCUGUGGUAUCUUCAUCCUCAGUUCGAAUACCAGGGAACACA